UACGUAGGGGGCAAGCGUUGUCCGGAUUUAUUGGGCGUAAAGCGCGUGUAGGCGGCCAGGUAGGUCCGCUGUGAAAACCCGAGGCUCAACCUCGGGACGUCGGCGGAAACCAUCUGGCUAGAGUCCGGAAGAGGAGAGUGGAAUUCCUGGUGUAGCGGUGAAAUGCGCAGAUAUCAGGAAGAACACCCGUGGCGAAGGCGGCUCUCUGGGACGGUACUGGCGCUGAGACGCGAAAGCGUGGGGAGCGAGCAGG
rnacentral:rRNA from 1 species